UACUGAAUGAUGGGAAUCAAACUCCAGUGUUCCGCUUACCAGGCAGAUGCCAUGUCCACUAGGCUACCCUGGAUUCAGU